GACGAACGCUGGCGGCGUGCUUAACACAUGCAAGUCGAACGGAAAGGCCCUGCUUUUGUGGGGUGCUCGAGUGGCGAACGGGUGAGUAACACGUGAGUAACCUGCCCUUGACUUUGGGAUAACUUCAGGAAACUGGGGCUAAUACCGGAUAGGAGCUCCUGCUGCAUGGUGGGGGUUGGAAAGUUUCGGCGGUUGGGGAUGGACUCGCGGCUUAUCAGCUUGUUGGUGGGGUAGUGGCUUACCAAGGCUUUGACGGGUAGCCGGCCUGAGAGGGUGACCGGCCACAUGGGGACUGAGAUACGGCCCAGACGCCUACGGGAGGCAGCAGUGGGGAAUAUUGCACAAUGGGCGGAAGCCUGAUGCAGCAACGCCGCGUGCGGGAUGACGGCCUUCGGGUUGUAAACCGAUUUCGCCUGUGACGAAGCGUGAGUGACGGUAAUGGGUAAAGAAGCACCGGCUAACUACGUG
rnacentral:rRNA from 1 species